rnacentral:rRNA from 1 species
AGUGAACGCUGGCGGUAGGCCUAACACAUGCAAGUCGAACGGCAGCACAGUAAGAGCUUGCUCUUACGGGUGGCGAGUGGCGGACGGGUGAGGAAUACAUCGGAAUCUACUUUUUCGUGGGGGAUAAUGUAGGGAAACUUACGCUAAUACCGCAUACGACCUACGGGUGAAAGCAGGGGAUCUUCGGACCUUGCGCGAUUGAAUGAGCCGAUGUCGGAUUAGCUAGUUGGCGGGGUAAAGGCCCACCAAGGCGACGAUCCGUAGCUGGUCUGAGAGGAUGAUCAGCCACACUGGAACUGAGACACGGUCCAGACUCCUACGGGAGGCGGCAGUGGGGAAUAUUGGACAAUGGGCGCAAGCCUGAUCCAGCCAUACCGCGUGGGUGAAGAAGGCCGUCGGGUUGUAAAGCCCUUUUGUUGGGAAAGAAAAGCAGCAGGUUAAUACCCCGCUGUUCUGACGGUACCCAAAGAAUAAGCACCGGCUAACUUCG